rnacentral:rRNA from 1 species
GACGAUUCUGUAGCUGGUCUGAGAGGAUGAUCAGCCACACCGGGGACUGAGACACGGCCCGGACUCCUACGGGAGGCAGCAGUGGGGAAUAUUGGACAAUGGGGGCAACCCUGAUCCAGCCAUGCCGCGUGUGUGAAGAAGGCCUUUUGGUUGUAAAGCACUUUAAGCAGUGAAGAAGACUUANCGGUUAAUACCCGUUAGCGAUGACAUUAGCUGCAGAAUAAGCACCGGCUAACUCUGUGCCAGCAGCCGCGGUAAUACAGAGGGUGCAAGCGUUAAUCGGAAUUACUGGGCGUAAAGCGAGCGUAGGUGGCUUGAUAAGUCAGAUGUGAAAUCCCCGGGCUUAACCUGGGAACUGCAUCUGAUACUGUUAAGCUAGAGUAGGUGAGAGGGAAGUAGAAUUUCAGGUGUAGCGGUGAAAUGCGUAGAGAUCUGGAGGAAUACCGAUGGCGAAGGCAGCUUCCUGGCAUCAUACUGACACUGAGGCUCGAAAGCGUGGGUAGCAAACAGGAUUAGAUACCCUGGUAGUCCACGCCGUAAACGAUGUCUACUAGUCGUUGGGUCCCUUGAGGACUUAGUGACGCAGCUAACGCAAUAAGUAGACCGCCUGGGGAGUACGGCCGCAAGGUUAAAACUCAAAUGAAUUGACGGGGGCCCGCACAAGCGGUGGAGCAUGUGGUUUAAUUCGAUGCAACGCGAAGAACCUUACCUGGUCUUGACAUAUCUAGAAUCCUGCAGAGAUGCGGGAGUGCCUUCGGGAAUUAGAAUACAGGUGCUGCAUGGCUGUCGUCAGCUCGUGUCGUGAGAUGUUGGGUUAAGUCCCGCAACGAGCGCAACCCUUGUCCUUAGUUACCAGCGGGUUAAGCCGGGAACUCUAAGGAUACUGCCAGUGACAAACUGGAGGAAGGCGGGGACGACGUCAAGUCAUCAUGGCCCUUACGACCAGGGCUACACACGUGCUACAAUGGUAGGUACAGAGGGCAGCUACACAGCGAUGUGAUGCGAAUCUCAAAAAGCCUAUCGUAGUCCAGGGGGAGUCUGCAACUCGACUCCAUGAAGUAGGAAUCGCUAG